rnacentral:rRNA from 1 species
GAUGAACGCUGGCGGCGUGCCUAAUACAUGCAAGUCGAGCGAACGGACGAGAAGCUUGCUUCUCUGAUGUUAGCGGCGGACGGGUGAGUAACACGUGGAUAACCUACCUAUAAGACUGGGAUAACUUCGGGAAACCGGAGCUAAUACCGGAUAAUAUUUUGAACCGCAUGGUUCAAAAGUGAAAGACGGUCUUGCUGUCACUUAUAGAUGGAUCCGCGCUGCAUUAGCUAGUUGGUAAGGUAACGGCUUACCAAGGCAACGAUGCAUAGCCGACCUGAGAGGGGAAUCGGCCACACGGGAACUGAGACACGGUCCAGACUCCUACGGGAGGCAGCAGUAGGGAAUCUUCCGCAAUGGGCGAAAGCCUGACGGAGCAACGCCGCGUGAGUGAUGAAGGUCUUCGGAUCGUAAAACUCUGUUAUUAGGGAAGAACAUAUGUGUAAGUAACUGUGCACAUCUUACGGUACCUAAUCAGAAAGCCACGGCUAACUACGUG